CACGUAGGGGGCGAGCGUUGUCCGGAUUUAUUGGGCGUAAAGAGCUCGUAGGCGGCUCAGUAAGUCGGGUGUGAAAACUCCAGGCUCAACCUGGAGACGCCACCUGAUACUGCUGUGGCUAGAGUCCGGUAGGGGAGAAUGGAAUUCCUGGUGUAGCGGUGAAAUGCGCAGAUAUCAGGAAGAACACCCGUGGCGAAGGCGGCUCUCUGGGACGGUACUGACGCUGAGACGCGAAAGCGUGGGGAGCGAACAGG
rnacentral:rRNA from 1 species